GUAUAUAGCCUUGGCCGACAGGCCCGGGUAAUCUUGGGAAAUUUCAUCGUGAUGGGGAUAGAUCAUUGCAAUUGUUGGUCUUCAACGAGGAAUGCCUAGUAAGCGCGAGUCAUCAGCUCGCGUUGACUACGUCCCUGCCCUUUGUACACACCGCCCGUCGCUCCUACCGAUUGAAUGGUCCGGUGAAGUGUUCGGAUCGCGGCGACGGGGGCGGUUCGCCGCCCCCGACGUCGCGAGAAGUCCAUUGAACCUUAUCAUUUAGAGGAAGGAGAAGUCGUAACAAGGUUUCCGUAGGUGAACCUGCGGAAGGAUCAUUG
rnacentral:rRNA from 1 species